UACGUAGGGCGCAAGCGUUGUCCGGAAUUAUUGGGCGUAAAGAGCUCGUAGGCGGCUUGUCGCGUCGUUCGUGAAAACCUGCGGCUCAACUGCAGGCUUGCGGUCGAUACGGGCAGGCUGGAGUUCGGUAGGGGAGACUGGAAUUCCUGGUGUGAGCGGUGGAAAUGACGCAGAUAUCAGGAGGAACACCGGUGGCGAAGGCGGGUCUCUGGGCCGAUACUGACGCUGAGGAGCGAAAGCGUGGGGAGCGAACAGG
rnacentral:rRNA from 1 species